CAGUCAUAGAAAAGCCCCCUGCUGGGGAGAUGCUGGCGGCUGCUCUCACACCCAAAAGCUACAAACUCAGGGCCAGCCCCUCACCUGCUGUAAACGGGAGUAGCUGUACUGAGGUCCCGGCUGGUGUAAACAGGAGUAGCUGUACUGAGGCCCCAGCUGGUGUAAACAGGAGUAGCUGUACUGAGGUCAAUGGGCCAGGUCCCGGCUGGUGUAAACAGGAGUAGCUGUACUGAGGUCAAUGGGCCAGGUCCCGGCUGGUGUAAACAGGAGUAGCUGUACUGAGGUCAAUGGGGCAGGUCCCAGAUGGUGUAAACGGGAGUAGCUGUACUGAGGUCAAUGGGCCAGGUCCUGGCUGGUGUAAAUGGGAGUAGCUGUACCGAGGUCAAUGGGCCAGGUCCUGGUUGGUGUAAACGGGAGUAGCUGUACCGAGGUCAAUGGGCCAGGUCCUGGUUGGUGUAAACGGGAGUAGCUGUACUGAGGUCAGUGAAGCGAUGCUGACUUGCAUCAGUGGGGAAUCCGGCUCAUAAACACUCUUCUAGCCAGGGAUGGGACUGAGCUGCUGAAGCUGGCCCUGCAUUCUGAACACAUCAGAGCUGGAGGGUGUUUGGCUAAAGAGCUGCACUUUGGCCCAAAGGGAGCCUGCAUGUGGGUUCAGACUCACACCUCCUGAAAUUCUGAGGUGUGUGGGUCAGAUGCUGGGUUCAGGCCCUGCUCUGCUAUCUUCUCUACAGUCAGUGACCUAGCUGCACUAUCGCUUGGCACAACACACUUGCCUUCAGCUUCCUGCAGUCCCAGAGACUUGUCAAAUUCCCACACAAGCCC